rnacentral:rRNA from 1 species
GACGAACGCUGGCGGCGUGCUUAACACAUGCAAGUCGAACGGAAAGGCCCUGCUUUUGUGGGGUGCUCGAGUGGCGAACGGGUGAGUAACACGUGAGUAACCUGCCCUUGACUUUGGGAUAACUUCAGGAAACUGGGGCUAAUACCGGAUAGGAGCUCCUGCUGCAUGGUGGGGGUUGGAAAGUUUCGGCGGUUGGGGAUGGACUCGCGGCUUAUCAGCUUGUUGGUGGGGUAGUGGCUUACCAAGGCUUUGACGGGUAGCCGGCCUGAGAGGGUGACCGGCCAUGAUGGGGAAGAGAUACGUGCCCGGCUCCCUAGGGGGGGCACAGGGGGGAAAUAUGCCCCAAGGGCGGGACGCUGGAUGCAGAACGCCCGCGGGGGGGAUGAGGGCUUGGGGUUUUAAACCCCCUUGCGCCGGAAACGGGGGGGGGGUGAGGUGAAGGAGUAAAAAAACCCCGGCAAACUCGGUC